rnacentral:rRNA from 1 species
GGGGGGAGCAAGCGUUGUUCGGAUUUACUGGGCGUAAAGGGCGCGUAGGCGGCCACCGCAAGUCGACUGUGAAAUCUCCGGGCUUAACCCGGAACGGUCAGCCGAUACUGCGGGGCUAGAGUGCAGAAGGGGCAACUGGAAUUCUCGGUGUAGCGGUGAAAUGCGUAGAUAUCGAGAGGAACACCUGCGGCGAAGGCGGGUUGCUGGGCUGACACUGACGCUGAUGUGCGAAAGCUAGGGGAGCGAACGGGAUUAGAUACCCCGGUAGUCCUAGCCUUAAACGAUGAAUGCUUGGUGUCUGGGGUUUUAUAGUCCCCGGGUGCCGUCGCUAACGCUUUAAGCAUUCCGCCUGGGGAGUACGGUCGCAAGACUG